UACGUAGGGGGCAAGCGUUGUCCGGAAUUAUUGGGCGUAAAGGGUGCGUAGGCGGGCAGGUAAGUCCGUGGUGAAAUCUCUGAGCUUAACUCAGAAACUGCCAUGGAUACUAUUUGUCUUGAAUAUUGUGGAGGUAAGCGGAAUAUGUCAUGUAGCGGUGAAAUGCUUAGAUAUGACAUAGAACACCAAUUGCGAAGGCAGCUUACUACACAGUUAUUGACGCUGAGGCACGAAAGCGUGGGGAUCAAACAGG
rnacentral:rRNA from 1 species